GACGAACGCUGGCGGCGUGCUUAACACAUGCAAGUCGAACGGAAAGGCCCUGCUUUUGUGGGGUGCUCGAGUGGCGAACGGGUGAGUAACACGUGAGUAACCUGCCCUUGACUUUGGGAUAACUUCAGGAAACUGGGGCUAAUACCGGAUAGGAGCUCCUGCUGCAUGGUGGGGGUUGGAAAGUUUCGGCGGUUGGGGAUGGACUCGCGGCUUAUCAGCUUGUUGGUGGGGUAGUGGCUUACCAAGGCUUUGACGGGUAGCCGGCCUGGGAGGGUGACCGGCCACAUUGGGACUGAGAUACGGCCCAGACUCCUACGGGAGGCAGCGGUGGGGAAUAUUGCACAAUGGGCGGGAGCCUGAUGCAGCAACGCCGCGUGCGGGAUGACGGCCAUGGGGUUGUAAACCGCAUUCGCCUGUGACGAAGCGUGAGUGACGGUAAUGGGUAAAGAAGCACCGGCUAACUACGUG
rnacentral:rRNA from 1 species